rnacentral:rRNA from 1 species
UACAGAGGUCUCAAGCGUUGUUCGGAUUCAUUGGGCGUAAAGGGUGCGUAGGUGGCGCCGUAAGUCGGGUGUGAAAUUUCGGAGCUUAACUCCGAAACUGCAUUCGAUACUGCGGUGCUUGAGGACUGGAGAGGAGACUGGAAUUCAUGGUGUAGCAGUGAAAAUGCGUAGAGAUCAUGAGGAAGACCAGUGGCGAAGGCGGGUCUCUGGACAGUUCCUGACGCUGAGGCACGAAGGUCAGGGGAGCAAACGGG